GACGAACGCUGGCGGCGUGCCUAAUACAUGCAAGUCGAACGCAGUGGGGACGGGUGAGUAACACGUGGGUAACCUCCCAUCAGAGGGGAUAACACUUGGAAACAGGUGCUAAACCGAUACUGAUGGAUGAACCCGCGGUGCAGUAGCUAGUUGGUGAGGUAACGGCUCACCAAGGCCACGAUGCAUAGCCGACCUGAGAGGGUGAUCGGCCACACUGGGACUGAGACACGGCCCAGACUCCGACGGGAGGCAGCAGUGGGGAAUCUUGCACAAUGGGCGCAAGCCUGACCCAGCCAUGCCGCGUGUAUGAAGAAGGCCUUAGGGUUGUAAAGUACUUUCAGCGGAGAGGCGUUACCCGAAGAAGAAGCACCGGCUAACUCCGUGCCAGCAGCCGCGGUAAUAC
rnacentral:rRNA from 1 species